GUGUAUCUUCAUGGCUUGCUUUCAUUGUGCUCUCACAAGAAAAUUAUAUCGUAUUCUACUCUUUUGAUUAUUUUUUUCCUCAGCUCUCACUUACGGUUUUUAUUCUUCGUCUUUUUUUUUCUUUCCAUUUUUGGUGGGUUUCAUAAGUGAUGUUUUGAUUUCCUCUAUUUCUUUACUUGUAUCUAUGUUUUAAUCUAAGUAAAAUUUUAGGAGAUUAUUUUUUUUAUUUGACUGAAUUUUUCUUUGUGCAUGUGUUAGCUUUGUCGAGAUGGAUGGCUUUCUUUUGCUCUUCUUUCUUUUCCUCUAUAAAUAAAUGUCCUCUUUUGUUCUGAUUUCGCUUUGCUUAGUUCAUUUUUUUUUUCCUUUUCUUUCUUUUCAUUUUUUUUAUUUCUUCAACUUUUAUUUCUUAUAGCUAUAUUAUAUGAGUCUGAGUAAAAAUUUUAAAAAAAUUUAGGAGUUGAUAUUUUAUGAUUUUGACCGAAUAUUUUCCUGUGCAUGUGUUGCCUAUGUCCUGAGAAUAAUUGAUGGGAAUAAUUGAAGAAGAUAUUUCGAAGUUUUUCUUUUAGAAAUUCAGAUAUGGUAUUUUAAUAUUUUUGCUUUUACUCUUCUUUCUUUUUAUUUUUUAGCCUCUAUUUUGGCACCACAUGCCUAUCUUUUCUUAUUUUUUACCUGCAAUUAUAUGCCUCAUUUUAUUCUGAUUUUGCUUUGAUUUAUUUGGUCUAGCAAGUUGAUAGAAUUUCUCACUGUGUUUUAAGUUCUCUGUUUUGUACUUUUAUUAUUUCACUUACUUAUUGCUAAUUGAAUAUUGAUGGAUAUUUAAUUACAUAAUGUAUUAAGUUUUUCAGGAUUCUAAAAGUCAAAUUUUUUCUAUGUGCUGAAAAUUACCUCUUCGUGAUGAAAAAACAUCAACACUUUUUCUAUAAAAGUUGCAGUGUAAUGGUUGCAAAAUUACUAUUUCACAUGUUUUUGAAAGUGGGAGUUACGCAAGAUGAAGAAAAAAAAACUGUUUGUAUUCAUUUCAUAUAGAGAAUGACUUUUUUGGUGAUGAGUUGGUGCGCUGUUGGAAGACAUGAGGAGCUCUUAAUGUGGAGUCAGACGCAAAGGUUUUCACAACCAUCCCACCUGUUUUUUGUCAAAUUGAAAAUUUUGCUAUGGAGGAAAAAUAUCUGAGAACAAUAUCAUCACUAAUUUAUAUUUGUGAAGCUCUUUGAUAAGCAUGUAUUAAGGUUGUGGCUUCAUUGAUUCAAGGAGGCCAGAAAACCUAAUUAUUAAUUCACAUAAUCCCCCAGAAUCCUUGAGAAAGAUGGGUAGGUCCAUUCAGAAGAGGACUUAAAAUACUAAAGCCAGGGCUUAUACUUUGAUCUUCAAAGUCUAUAGCAUCUUCUUCCUAGAUUUGCUCCUGUAUGCUUGACUGAAGGUUGUGUUUCUUGUUUAUACUUGAACUGGAAAAAAGGAAAACAAUAACAAUAAGGUUGUUGGCUUGGAAAGCUUAAACAGAAACUUUGCAGAACUUGCUGUAAGCUUUGCAUUCAGAGGUUAAUGUGAUGAUCAGAAUAAAUUGCCUUUCUGAUUUUGAGUUCAUGAUCAAGUUAAUUAGAUAACAGAAUCAUGAGACUUGUUCGCAUUUUGUUUGUGAUCUCAUUCUGAUAUUUCAUGGAAUUGUAUAUUGCAAAAAUCACAGAAGAGGGUGUAACAAUUUCUCAACCACAUUUAUUGAAGACUUUCUGAAGCUUCUAUGCUUUCCAGAAUGCAACUGCUGGUGCAUGAGGGUUCAUGGUAAUAACUGGUUGAUGCAUUGACUUGUUUUGAUGAACGAAAUACACAGACAUCGUGUGUCAUAGAUUUUUGAAAUCAUUACAGCUUCAUGAAAACGAUGUUUGUCAGAUGCUGUAUAAAGAUUUCUGGAAUUUCUUGGUUGUUUUUUUAUGUAAACUAUAAGGACAUACCAUCUUAUGCUUCACGUUUUCCUUCAUUAUGUAGGAGUUUGUCUUCCAAAAAUUUUGUACUGUUUUGUGAUGUAUUUCAGAUCUUUUUGUAUGCCAUGGCUUUAUCUCAGUUAUAGAUCACUUUGUAGUUUCGUCAGUUUGAUAUAUUUGCUAAGUUCAUGA